GCAGAGGACGGAACUUUCUCUCCCAGUCACUGCUUCGUCCUCCGGGUUCGGCACCGAAAAAAGACCCAACCCGCCUACGACCGCCUAGCGACCGCCUAGCCUCCUAGCCACCGCAUAGCCACCGCCUAGCCUCCUAGCCGCCUAGCGCCCGCCUAGGCCGACUUUUCAGUUCUCGCUCUCCAGCAUCCAAACGCACUCUUUCUCUCCCCUUGUCGUCAAGAUUAAGAGGGAGUCUGCUGAAGGUUGUGUGAAAGACUUCGUCUUUGGAUCAAAAAGGCAACCUGAAAGAGAAAUUGAGAAGCUGGCCCUUAACAGUGCAAAGGAAUAUCAUUAGUCUUUUUUUUUGGAAAAAAAUAAAAUGAACGUCCUUAGUUAAAUAGGCAGUUAACAAUGUAUUGAGAAUGAUUCUCCUGUUCUUGUUAGUUUUAUGUGGUGAUAUUUCAUGUUUUGUUUCAUUUCAUGUAUGAUCUUCACCUUGCAGCUGAGAUAAAACCAAAUUCAGUAUGGAUAUGAUUCUUAGGCA